rnacentral:tRNA from 1 species
GUGUCGCCAAGUGGUAAGGCAGCGGACUCUGACUCCGUUAUUUCGAGGGUUCAAAUCCUUCCACC